AUGAAGACUUUUGGCUUAAAAGCAACUUUGCUCCUAAUGGCCAUUCUCUUUUUUACAGAUUUUUUGAAUGUUGAAGGCCAGGUUUGUCACCCAAGUGGCAAGAUUAGGUAAGAAACCCCCUCCUGGAGAAUGCAACCAAGGCAAUGACUCUGAUUGCUGUAAAGAAGGAAAGCUUUACACAACAUACAAGUGUUCUCCAACAGUAUCUAGUCAUACCAAGGCAUAUCUUACUCUUAAUGGCUUUGAGAAAGAUGAAGAUGGUGGUGCUCCGUCUGAAUGUGACAAUCAGUACCACUCUGAUGACACACCGGUUGUGGCACUGUCAACUGGAUGGUAUAACAAAGGGAGCAGGUGCUUAAAUAACAUCACUAUUACUGCUAAUGGGAGGAGUGUGGUGGCUAUGGUAGUCGAUGAGUGUGACUCAACUAUGGGAUGUGACAGUGACCAUGAUUAUCAGCCUCCAUGUGCCAACAACAUUGUUGAUGCCUCAAGAGCUGUGUGGGAAGCCUUGGGGGUGCCUCGUGACCAAUGGGGAGGGCUUGAUAUCACUUGGACCGAUGUUUGUCACCCAAGUGGCAAGAUCAGGGGUAAGAAGCCCCCUCCUGGAGAAUGCAACCAAGGCAAUGACUCUGAUUGCUGUAAAGAAGGCAAGCUUUACACAACAUACAAGUGUUCUCCAACAGUAUCUAGUCAUACCAAGGCAUAUCUCACUCUUAACGGCUUUGAAAAAGAUGAAGAUGGUGGUGCUCCAUCUGAAUGUGACAACCAUUACCACUCUGAUGACACCCCGGUUUUGGCACUGUCAACUGGAUGGUAUAACAAAGGGAGCAGGUGCUUAAACAACAUCACUAUAACUGCUAAUGGGAGGAGUGUGGUGGCCAUGGUAGUUGAUGAGUGUGACUCAACCAUGGGAUGUGAUAGCGACCAUGAUUAUCAGCCUCCAUGUGCCAACAACAUUGUUGAUGCCUCAAGAGCUGUGUGGAAAGCCUUGGGGGUGCCUCAAGAUCAAUGGGGAGGGCUAGAUAUCACUUGGACCGAUGCCUAA